AUACACCUGCAAUACGCCACCGCCGGCAGGAAAGAGCAUGGUGACAUGACAGUCAAGCUCGCCGACGGCCGCGGCCGGAGGGAGGAGCAUCGGCGGCUGCAUAAGCUCAUUGGCGGUGCAUUUCCUGGCUGUGGGGAAGCCUGGAGGACAGGCUGCUACCCCGAGCUUUUAAUUGCCAUUCAUGGGGACCUUCUGCCAGUGACUUCCCCAACCACCUCUCCGAGAUGCUGGUGGCAUUCCCAACCUCGUGCCGCUGACCACCACUAUGACUUGCCGCUGCUGGCCACCUCCCCAACAAGCUACUCCUGGAUUGAGCAUACAUAUAUGCAGUAGAUGGAAAUCCCUUUCAGUAAAUAAAACGUGCUAUGUGCAUAGGAUGGUCCAUACUUGUACAUUUUCCUGCUAUGCAUCUAUAAGAUGUAAGAUGGUAAAGAAGAAAAAAUCAAGAAAAAAGGCAUCCAGGUGCUCGGCAAAUGCCCCGCAGCUAUGAGUGCUAAUGAACAGCUCCAGCAGGCUACAGAGGACAACGUCAAUGCUGUGGUUCCCUCCGUGGUGCUAACUCAUCACAGCGGUGCACCUCAGUCCUCAGAACACCAAGACGACAACUUGGAAGAUUCAAAACUUGUGAAGUAGCUUUAGUUGCAGAAAACACCAAACUGAAGCUGUCACUGGAGGAAGCUGUAAAUUUGCCGAGCUUAGCGAAAACUAUGGAUCACGAGCAACAGUGGACGAAAUUGGAGAUCUUAGAUGUGGGAACUAAAGAAAGCCUAUAAGAACCCAAGCCGAACCAAGAGCCAAGAGGCACCCCUGCCCUGGCCUAGCUGACGACCCGAGGCUACAGUUGUUGUCGAGGUGCUUCUGCCACAGGGAGGAGGUGGCACAACACCUGGUCAUGGUGCUCCUAGCGGAACUCAAUGCUGGGGGAGACCACUUCGUCCUGCUGCCAUCCGCAACCUCCCUAAGCUUGCAGCUGUCCGAUCACCGAACCGAUCAAAGCUCAGUAUGUGUUUGCGCUUGGGGGAUUCAUGUGUAGGAAGUGGAAGGACUACUACCCCACACUGUGGUUGUUGCCAGCCUCCCCGAGGUGCUGGUGGUGGUUGCCUGGCAGAGCUGCUGCUGCUCAUCGCCUAUCCCGCUGGGUACUCUUAGGAACGCCAACGCUGGUGUUGGGGCUUGGUCUGGGCGGCCCGAGCUGCGGUGUUUGGCGGCCGCGUGCGGGAUGCAGUAGGAAGAGUGGGUGUCGCUAGCCUAUGUGAUUUUGGACUGCACCAGGUGGUGCUUCUAGACGCGCGCACCGGU